UCAUUCCAAAACCUAAAAAACUUAACAUUUCUUCUCUCUCAAAUCCACCAGCACAGUCUUAACUUUUCUGGCAAUAAUUGAUGAUAGUUGGAUGGGCGUUUGACGGCAGUUUCAUCUCCGACAUCACCUGUCUGUAUUUCCAACACUUAGACGGCAGUUGGAUGGGCGAUUGACAGCAGCUUCAUCUCCUAAAUCAAGUUUUUUUUUUUGUUUCACUAAGAUUAGACCAUCAUUUGAAUGUAAUUGAGUGUAUACUUUAUGAUAGAUGAGUAUUAUGGUUAAUUUACUAUGAAUUUUGAAAAGAAUUAAACGAGAUUAUGAUUUGAGAAAAAUGGCAUAUGAGAUGUUUGUUGAAGUGCCUAUUAGACUUCAUUAUCUUAUUUGUGAUAGAUUGUGUUGUGGGUUUAUUGUGGCUUGCUAUGAAUUCGUGUUCAACAAAGCAGAGCAAGUGAUUUUAGUGCAAUGAGUGUUGCUUUGAUUUAGUGUGACGGAAGCCUAGAGCACAGGCGACCUGCACCCUUCUCAUGAAAUCACAACAAGUAUGUUAAUGUAAUUUUAAGUGACAAGCACUUGUUUUCAGGGCGAUAACGCCCACCACUCAAAAUCAAAGCAAGCGUAUUGCUAUGAUUUUGAGCAACAUGCACUAUCUCCCAAGCCAUAGGUGCCUAUUGCACAAAAUCACAACAAACAUAUUAAUGUAAUUUUGACUGACAGACACCUGUCUCCCAGGCGACAAGCACUUGUUGCUCAAAAUCAAAGUAAGCAUGUUGCUAUGCUUUGCCAAGCACGGAUUCGCCCACGACAUAAU
rnacentral:lncRNA from 1 species